UUGCUGCUGUUCCCAGAUUCUGCUUCCCCGUGCUCAGAUUGCCUUUCAACGCUUUUAAUUGCACAAUUAACUAUUAUCUGAGGAAAGCUUUCAAUGGAGAGCUCUGAUGAUGGAAAGAAUGGUCCUCUGGAUGCCAGGGAGCAUUCUCUAACAUCUGAUGGCAAAAAAUCCAUAGACGAAGUUCUUAAUGGUCCAAAUGGCCUUUGCUCGUAGAACUUGCACAUGGAUAGGCACAUGUUUUAUGUAUUGUGUGACAUGUUACAAGCCAGAGGCCUCUUAUGUCACACAAUUAGAAUAAAGAUUGAGGAGCAGGCAGUGAUUGAUCAUGUUUAUAGUUGGGCACAGGAUAUGUACUCGAGCAGUUCAAGAGCUAUUUGGAUACUCAGGCGAAACCAUUAGCUGCCAUUUCAACAAUGUUCUAACGACAAUUAUGGCAAUUUCACGGGAUGUUUUUCCACCUCCUAGGCCUGAUGUUCCACCAGAAUUUGUGAAGAUCCUCAAUUUAUCCUCAUUUUCAGUAGGAUUGGAUGAGCAAGUUCCUUUCUGGAACAAGAGUGGUUUUCUUUCACAAAAUGUACGGGCUGUAUGCUCCUUCAGUAUGAAAUUUCACUAUGUUCUAGCUGGUUGGGAAGGUUCAGCACCUGAUAUACAAGUUUUAGGUUCUGCUGUCACAAAAGGUAACAUAUUGCAAGUCCCCGAUGGUACAUCAUCUUUAUAGGAACUGAAACUGAGCUAGCGGAAACGGUUCCACGCACACUGAAUUACCAUUUGGUGAGAACGUUCUGGAUGACUCAGUAUUCUCCCUUGAGUACUUCACUUCUGAGUUUUUGAUCACCUUCAAUCUUAACAACAGCAUAUUGAAAGUCCCAUCUUAUGUUUGUCUUUCAAAACUUCGUUCCUUGUAUCUCUCUGCUGUUGAGUUGAAGAAUGAUGCCUUUAUAACCUCUAAUAGCCGACAAGGAAUCAUCUUUAACUUGCCUGUCCUUGAAGAGCUUCGGUUUAAUUAUUGUACAUGGUGGAAUUUGAUGAUACUUCCAAAAGAUGCUCCUUUACUCAAAAGAUUCGAAAUGAUUGGCCCCCCUUAUAGAUCUGGAAAUGGUGCAAUGUAUGAAGGCAUUAAAGUAGAGAUUUGUGGAGGCAACCUUGCUGAUGUUAAAUGUUCAGUUUUUUUCUUUGAGGAGUGUUUUCUCCAACCGAUUGACUCUUGUUAAUGCUUGUUUCAAGUAUGAUGCUUCUAUUAUGCAUUAUGAUGAUCAUUGGAGAAGAAAGAUGGUGUUGUGAGCUUGUGCACUUUUAGGUGGAUUCUCUAUCAGGGGAUGCCUUGAGCUAUCUGGUGACUUCCUCGUGGUACACAAGUUUCUUUCUACAAGUUAAUAUUGUUAAUAGUAGUAAUUUUGCAUUUACAACUGUUGUUUGUACACUUAGAUAAUGUCUGCUUAUUUUUUUUAUCCCCUCAUUUCCUGCUUCAGUCUUGUUAUGCUUUGGUUAUGAUUUGUUUUGCUAUUGUUCAAGACUUUGCUCUUCUUGCUUUUCCUUUAUUCAUUCGUCGUUUUGUCUGUUGCUACUGUCAAUGUGUUAAUUUGCUAGCUAGUAAUUACAAAAUUUGCUUACUGAAGAAGUUGUUCAAUUGUAUGACCUCAAUGUACUCAGCUACUAUAAGAAACUAAGGAAGGAAACAGCUAAUCUUCUUGGCCAGUAUGUAUUGGUAGCCCAUUAAUUUAAGACACAGUAUUGAGCAGGUAUGAAGGUGAAAACCCGAUAUUUCUCUUUGAUUGAGUGCACCCGGGACUUGAUAUUUAGUUGUUGAUGGAAACUAAGCGUUGUAAUCUAGAAUAAAAGGUACAUAACCAUCAAGUUUGAAGUAACUUGGGAUGUGUAUGCAGUCAAUAACAAUAGGUUGAUGGAGAGAUUUUUCAUGGCUUGUAAUAACUUGAAUUGUCUUGGCAAAUUUGGUUGUCUUCCUGCGCUGAAUUCUGAAUUAUCUUGCUGAACUUUAGCACAUUGCCCUCUUAUUGAAUCCAUCAAUUCUUCCCAAGUUGCUGUCCUAGGCGGAACCAUUAGGUCCUCUUCCAGUCUUUGAUAAGCUUAACUGCCUCAAAGUGUCAGCAGUGAGCGGUGCCAAGUGCGACAAGCCAUUGGUGAACUUGCUCAAAAGGGCACCAUAGCUGGAAUCUCUGAUCAUUUCUUCAUUCCUGAUUUGUAGCGGCCAUCCGGGGUUGGCGGUGACUAUGAGGGAAUUGAUUUUGAGCCAGCAAAUUUUAUGAUUCACCUUAAGGUCAUCAAGUUUGAUAACAAGUUUCAGAGGCAAGGAAGUUCAGAUUCAGUCAGUGAAGUUUUUGCUCGAACAUGGCUCGGUACUUGGAAAACCCUGUGUUAUGUCUGUUUUCUGUUCAUUGUAUAACAAUGCAUAUAUGAAGGAUGUAUAUGUUUGCAAUCAAAUUGAAAUUAUUAUUUCAAAAUUAAAAGUUAGAUACAAAGAAAUUGAAACUAGCAUGCGAAAUCUUGUUGAUCAACAGUAAAUAGGGUGGAUUAUUAAACUUAUACUUGUUUCUGGAACAGAGUACUAACCAUUGAACUUCUUAUUUCAAUUUCCUGUAGCUUUGUUCUGUGCUGUAUAAUGAAUUAUAUCAUACAUGAUUGGCAGCCCGGU